rnacentral:lncRNA from 1 species
UUUGCUGUAGGAUUGAAUGUAGGUUUGCAUGGUUCAAUUUCUUUGGUUGUGUAUUGGAUGGUUGUCUCUUUGAAGAGUACCAUUUGUGUAGUUAGAAAAUAAAAUUGCUGCCCUGAAACAUUUUCCACACCUGUUGUGCCAUUAUUUUGCUGAAUAUCAUUGUUUGUUUGUGAUUUUUUGAACUGGAGAUUCCUCUACA